rnacentral:lncRNA from 1 species
GCAUUCCUUUACUUUGAAAUGAUGGUGGCCUCAGGUUGAUUUAAAAAGGUGAAUACACCAAUGGAUGCUCAUGAGCUACCGUUCCUCCCUCACAGAAUCCCACAAAGCUGGGUAAAAUUGUCAGGAGGAUCCGCUCUGGAAGACGGUGUUUGGACUCAGGUGCAACACUUUUUUUAAAACAUAAAUCCCACACCUGAAAAGCACAUUUGGAUUCCUUCACUAUUCUGAGAAUUCUCCUGCCACAGAAACCCAAGCUGUAUUCUAAAUAGUUGCUUCCAUAUGAGGUCAGUGAAUUCCAAUCAGCUAGUUGCCACUCUGAAUUCUGUCACUUAGAGUGGGUGAAAAUUCUCCAUGGAAACUAAAAGCCGUUUUGAAGAUAAUCUACCACUAAGGGCUUAAACAUAAAUCCUUCUUGAAAAAAAAAUUCUUUUUAAAUGAGUGAUAAUUGAAGAUAUUUUCCCUUUAACUGAAGAGAAAAGGUCUUUCAGCCAUUAAAAUGGUUACUAUUAUUUGACCAUUUGGGCACCUAGAUAGAGCUGGCAAUUGCAGCUCUUGCUCCCAGUGACGAGAGCCUUGCUUAGUAAAGAUAGCCAGAAGAGGGAUUAAUAUUUCAGGGUAAAUAAUAGACCCUGUGACCACCGAUUUACAGAUCUAAGCCCUCAUGAAUCAAGCUGAAGGCGUCAUCUACAUGAAGUCUCCACCCUCAUCAGCUCUCUGACUUCCACAUGAAAAGAAAAACCACUUCCAAAGCCCUGUUAAAUUUCUGAUUAAUAGAUUGGUCAGGUACGGAGCCAAGCUUUGAAAGGGACUGCAGUUUAUGCUUUGUACAAGCCCAUGGAUCAUUUAGGAUGAAUAGAGAGCCCUCAGUGACCAAGUUAAGGGCAUCACUCAUGCAGCAACUUAAAAUGCAGUCUCAGAAUUUGUUUGGCCUUCCAGUUGGCAUAACAGCCCAUAAACACUCCAGCUGGGCAAUGAGGAGUCUGAGCCAAUCGUCAUCACCUGAGCUGCCAAGUUUGGCGGACGCUUCUCUUUUCAUGUCCAGACUUCAAAUGUGUGUGCAGCAAAGGAGGAAGAUGUGGACCAUGCUCUUGAAUGGUGCUCUAGGAAGAACUGGGUUUCUCUUAUCCACAAGUGCCUUCUUAUACCAAGGACUGGUCUAUCCAUCUUCAUUUACACUGGCAACAAGGUAUAGUGAACAGGGAGCCAAGAUGCCCUGAGUUUUGCAUUUGCCUCAGACACUCAGACAAAUGUCACACUCUUGCUUGUGUGACCCAAGGCAAGUCAUUUAACUUUCUUGAAUCCCAGUUUUCUCAAAAGUAAAAUAAAAGAGUUGGAUUCAAAGAUUCUAAGGUCCCU